AGGGACGGGAGCCGAUUCUGGGCGCUGUCCCCGAGAAGGAGUCCCGCGGAGGGAGACGGAACCGCGGAGGGAGACGGGCCGGCGGAGGGAGGCAAAAUGGCGGGCGGGUGGGGGGAGGGGACCAGGGACAAGGGAGAAAAUGGCAGGAACAGACCCAGGAGGCAAGUGAAGGUUCCGCCAUUGAUGACAUCCCGCCCUGACCCCUUUCCCUGACUCCCGGGGGCCUCCCUCCUAGGCCCGGCAGGGACAAGGGGAUCCUGGACGCGGGGCUGAUGGGCGGAGCCGGCGCCACAUCCCCAGGUCCCUGGUCCCCGUGGUCCUGGCCUGGGCCCCCAGGGGCCCCCACUCACCGAGGCAGCGGCGGGCGGAGGGAGCCCGGCGGCCAUUUCUCCCCCUCGGAGCCUCCCCCGGAGCGGGAGCCACAAAGCGGCAGGAAGGAGUUCCAUCCCGGUGACUUCGGCACGGGCCCGAGGGGGCCGAGAGGGGCCCUCGGGCUUCGGAGGCGGCGGCUCCUGGGCCUGCCCUGGUCCCUUUGACCUUCAUCUGCCUUGGGCUUCUCUCUCCUGCUCCUGGCCCUGGCUUAUCCUCUCCCAGGCAUGGCUGCCCAUGGAACUAGCCAAAAGGGGCUGGAAACAGGGGCAGAAUGAAAUUGGGAUCUUCUGGAAACAACUGGCAUCUUUUGGAAACAACUGGGAUCUUCUGGAAAAAAUUGCUUUCAAGGCAAGUAGAGGCUUCAAGGAAAGAUGAGUACCAGAAGACUUAAUGUUAACAGAUUAGCGCACUUCUCCAAGUAGGAGCAAUUUCUUGCUUACUUGAAAGCUGAAUCAAUAUGCAGUUGGCAAAAGUGGAGCAGAGAAGGAGUGGGCGGCUUUCAGAGAAUUGGUGAGCAGAAGGAACGUGCAAUGCAUAAGUUUAGUGACAUCCCCACUCCAGAUGUUGGAGUGGACUAUUUGUACCCGACUUGGGGUAGAGCCUUCCAAGCUCAUGCUGGACUGAUCAGCCACAGCCAGACCCACCGUACCUCGACCUGGGUACCAUGUGGUCCUCCUUGAGCACAAAGGACCACAAUGAGCCUGUGUGAGGGGUGGUGUUGGUCUGAGAGCUUUGGAAAACAGAAAUAUUCUCGAUUUCCUUGAAAGAAACACACAUGGUUCCAGACUUUUUAGGAAGUCUCACGAGGACUUUGAAAAGCAGCAGAAAUAUAGAGAAGUCGAUGACUCAGCAUGUCCCUGAUUUACUGGCUUGCCUCUGGAAAGAUUUUGGAGAAUUGCCUCCUGGGCUAAAUCUCGCUUAUUCCCAUCUAAAGAGCUUAUUUGCUCUUGUCUAUGUCCUGGUUUAUUCUAAAUAGAGAACUCCCCUGAUUUUUAUUUGCUAUCUGCCUGGAUUUCCACGCAAUUCACUAUUUAUAAUAAUCUUUUGUGUAACCAGUAUUUGUUAGGAAGAAAUCAAAUUUGCCAGUGUAAGCUUGAGGCGCUGCCUCCUUUUAAAAGCUCUUUAUAAGAUACUGGGGAAACAGCUCAAAUCAAAAAAAUUACCACUUAAACCAGCAAUUUUUAGGAAGGAAUAGCCAGAAUUCUCAUCUGGUACCCCCAGAUGUUUUUUCUUAUUUAAAGAUUUCCUGGAGUGACCAGUCAGUCGCACGGCCCCUUCUCUUGCUCUUUGGGUUGGAAGCCAGCCUAGGAGCCACAUUUAGACUACCCAGACUACCCAGGGGGACAUAUAUAGACAAGACUCGCCUUAUCCUCAAAUUGCCUAGAAUUGAUUUAUUUGUAUAUGUAUCCUUUCAGUAAAAUAUAAACUUUGUGUGGGCAACAAUUGUUUUACUUCUGUUCUUCAACAGAGAAUUGUAUAGAGAUUUCUAAGACUUAAGUCUGGGAGCUGUACAACCAGCCAGAUCUUUGUCAUACUUCUUUUCCAAGAAGUGGGACCGUAGAGAAGGGAACAGUCUUUGUAUUCUAAUACCCUUAAUUUCUCUAGUUAAUUUGUUCUUUUUUUUUCUUUUUCUUUUUUUUUUUGCUGAGGAAGUUGGGGUUAAGUGACUUGCCCAAGGUCACACAGCUAGGAAGUGUUAAGUAUCUGAGACCAGAUUUGAAUUCAGGUUCUCCUGACUUCAGGGCUGGUGCUCUAACCAAGCUAUCCUUGGGGAUCAUUCAGGUCAGCCCCCCACCUCUUAUUUUAAAGGGGAGGAAACAUUACUUUCCCAAGCCAUGUUCCUUCUGGGGACACUUCCAUGGAGCACUCAUACUCACACAUUGGAGUGAGUGUACAUGACUGCUAUUCUCAGGGUACUGAAAGUAAUCUGGAGGAGCCGAGGUUUCUAGUAUUGUUGUUCAAGUGCCCCAAAUAGUGUGCUCCAGAUUAACAAUCAGCUCAAUCCAACUAGCUUUUAGAAAAGGGAUUUAUUGACAAGAAUAAUAAAUUCAAAAUAUUGUCCCUGAAACCCAGACACUGCUCUCCCCUUUGCAAAUAGAAAGUUCCUGGAGAGAAUGAGUCCAAAUCUGACAUGUUAUGAUACUGAGGAAAAUGAGAAGAAAAGCCUAUUUCUCCGUGUUUCUUUGCUGGGGUGAUCCCCGUUCACUGCUGUCGGGAAAGAAAAAGGAAGAUUCCAACUGUUAGGUAGCUGUUGGGCUGACUUCUCACCAGACUAUACCUAUGCCGUUCUAAGCCACUCAUCUACCACCCUGCAAUCUCUCCAGACUUUGCCAUACCUGAGCACGUCCAUCCCAAAGCUGCUGUUCAGCGACUGACUGACUCCUGUGACUAUUAUCACUGCCUCUGGUGGACUCUACUACCAGGCUCCAGCGGGACCUUUAAUGGGAAUUCACAAGUGCACUACUAGAUCACUGUAGGAGGCAUAUAAAGGAGUAAAAUACAGGAAGACUGGAAAGGUCGAUGCUGGGGUUGGGGCACAUAGGAGAA
rnacentral:lncRNA from 1 species